rfam:Gossypium arboreum cultivar AKA8401 contig_33093_1, whole genome shotgun sequence.
UUGUAAAAAUUUUAUCUAUUUCUAUUAUUAAAAUUGUUGUGAUUAACAGAAUAAUCAGACAAUUACAAAUGGUGUGUCAUACGUAUCUUAUUUUGACGUACAUGGAUCAAUUUUUAACAGUAGAAAUUAGUGAAAUUUUUAAUA